GACGAACGCUGGCGGCGCGCCUAACACAUGCAAGUCGAACGGAGCUGAGAGAAGCUUGCUUUUCUUAGCUUAGUGGCGAACGGGUGAGUAACGCGUGAGUAACCUGCCCUGGAGUGGGGGACAACAGUUGGAAACGACUGCUAAUACCGCAUAAGCCCACGAUCCGGCAUCGGAUUGAGGGAAAAGGAUUUAUUCGCUUCAGGAUGGACUCGCGUCCAAUUAGCUAGUUGGUGAGGUAACGGCCCACCAAGGCGACGAUUGGUAGCCGGACUGAGAGGUUGAACGGCCACAUUGGGACUGAGACACGGCCCAGACUCCUACGGGGGGCAGCAGUGGGGGAUAUUGCACAAUGGGGGAAACCCUGAUGCAGCGACGCCGCGUGGAGGAAGAAGGUUUUCGGAUUGUAAACUCCUGUCGUUAGGGACGAUAAUGACGGUACCUAACAAGAAAGCACCGGCUAACUACGUG
rnacentral:rRNA from 1 species